AUCAAACUGCUAUAAGUCCCAUUCGUGAUAAGCUACACAUGACAACAAGAUUCUAAUGGAGUUCAUCUUUACAACAGGUGGGAAUUUCUCUUAGUAAUUCACUCCAUAGGUUCAUGUGAAGCCAUUUGCCACUAACCUGGCCUUGUAUAUUUCAAGUGAAUCAUUUGUCCUAUGUUUUAUUGUGAACACUCACUUUCUUAAAGCAACAAGGACAUCAAGAUCAUCGAUAACGAAAUUAGGGUUAGAAUCUGAAUUAGAAUUACCAAGACAGGAGGAGACUUACCACAUAAAUCUUCAGAAUUUGAACAAGUAACAAUUGAUUAGGUGUAUCAUA
rnacentral:misc_RNA from 1 species